rnacentral:lncRNA from 1 species
UACAUGAUCGAAAAAAAAUUUCAUUUCAAACGUCCAGUCACGAACCUGAAUACGGACAACCUAGUCAUAGCGAAGUGAAUGAGUCAUCGGUGUGCAACUCGCGUAGUGGAUAAUUUUACCCCACGUGCGCAACACCCCCCUCGGCUCUCCUCCUUUUAGUUCUCUCCUUUUGACUAAUCAACACCUUCCUUCAUUUCUUCCCCAAUUUCAUUACCCUCCAAAAUUUAUAAAACCCUAAAUCCAAUUCCUACUCCAAUUUCCUCUCUGAAACCAUGUCAAUCAUCCCUGAAGAAGAAAUCACCAAAUCCUCCUCCUCCUCCGAUUUCACACAACCUCAACUCAAGCUCUCCGCUCCUCCCUGGGAAUUCUCCAGCCGCAGAUGCUCCGCCCGGAUCGCCGCCCCAGAUCUCGACGAAUCCGCCUCACCUUCCCCCUCCUCCGCCGCCGCCGAGAUCCACCUCCCCAACCCCAACCAAACAUGGCUCCGCCUCUGCGGCUGCUCCUUCGCCCUCCUCCUCAAUGCCGCCCUGCUCUUUCUCC